AGCGAACGCUGGCGGCAGGCCUAACACAUGCAAGUCGAACGGAUCCUUCGGGAUUAGUGGCGGACGGGUGAGUAACACGUGGGAACGUGCCCUUUGGUUCGGAACAACUCAGGGAAACUUGAGCUAAUACCGGAUGUGCCCUUCGGGGGAAAGAUUUAUUGCCAUUGGAGCGGCCCGCGUCUGAUUAGCUAGUUGGUGAGGUAACGGCCCACCAAGGCGACGAUCAGUAGCUGGUCUGAGAGGAUGAUCAGCCACACUGGGACUGAGACACGGCCCAGACCCCUACGGGAGGCAGCAGUGGGGAAUCUUGCGCAAUGGGCGAAAGCCUGACGCAGCCAUGCCGCGUGAAUGAUGAAGGUCUUAGGAUUGUAAAAUUCUUUCAGCGGGGACGAUAAUGACGGUACCCGAAGAAGAAGCUCCGGCUAACUUCGUG
rnacentral:rRNA from 1 species